AACGAACGAUGGCGGCAUGCCUAACACAUGCAAGUCGAACGAGAUCUUCGGGUCUAGUGGCGCACGUGUGCGUAACGCGUGGGAAUCUGCCCUCUGGUUCGGAAUAACAGUUGGAAACGACUGCUAAUACCGGAUGAUGACGAAAGUCCAAGGAUUUAUCGCCAGAGGAUGAGCCCGCGUAGGAUUAGCUAGUUGGUGUGGUAAAGGCGCACCAAGGCGAGCAUCCUUAGCUGGUCUGCGGGGAUGAUCAGCCGCACUGGGACUGAGACACGGCCCAGGCUCCCACGGGAGGAAGCAGUGGGGAAUAUUGGACAAUGGGCGAAAGCCUGCUCCAGCAAUGCCGCGUGGGUGAUAAAGGCCUGAUGAUUGUAAAGCUCUUUUACCCCGGAUGAUAAUGACAGUACCGGGAGAAUAAGCUCCGGCUAACUCCGUGCCAGCCGCCGCCGUAA
rnacentral:rRNA from 1 species